GACAGUGGGAGCGAUGAUAAUGUAGAAUCCAUCACAGUUGACCAGCGGAUUUUCAACUGUAUCCCAAAUUUAACGUGGGGAGCCAAUAAGGAGUCACCUGGACGCCUCAAACAGAAAAGCAGCGCAUUUCUGAGAUUUGCUUGCAGAUGCAAUCUGUCAUGCCAAGAUGAGGGUCACUACAACUGCCAAUUAUGGAAAGUCAAUCAUGCACAAAGAGUAUUGUCUUCCCUCGGUGCCGAGGAAGACUGUCUUGAUCGAUUCCUGGACAAGAUGGUGGAUGUGGAGAAAAUCUACAUUUAGGGUCGAAUCUAUCUAGAGAUGCCUGUGCGUGGGUUUGUGGGAAUCUUGUUUCAUGUCAACAAACAUGCGCUCCUUGACAGAUCCUUAGCCUGCUUUGAUGGCUGGGAAAUCCCAGAUGAUUGGGGUCCAAGAACCUGCUGCAGCCUUCAAACCAUCACCUCCCCCAUCUGAUCCAUUGAUAAGAUGUCACUGGAUGCCAAAAAAAAAAAAAAAAAAAAAAAAUUAAUAUGGUGCCUCCUCCAUAACUUCACCAUCAUCUUUUU